UCACUUCAGCAGCACAUAUACUAAAAUUAGAAUGAUACACAGAAGAUUAGCGGGGCCCCUGCACAAGGAUAUCACGCAAAUUUACGAAGCUUUCCAUAAUUUU